UGUCCUGUCACUAGACUGAGAGUGUGCUGUCUGACCACACAUUGCAUUGGUGCCUGCAUCUUUUCUGAAAAAGCAACUCCUGACCAAAAGAGUGUCCUCCAUCCAACCACACCUGUGUCGGCCGUUCAGCUGAAUAAGUGCCUGCUCGGAAAACAGUGAAUUUCUUUAGGUAUAUCUGCCGGAGCCGGGACGCCAGGCUAGGGCAGGCAGACCACCCGUUACGCAGCGAGACGGUGGCUGCAGCCAGGGGGAUCGGACAGGGGGAAAAAAAACAAUGCUGGGGGAGGGUCUUCCGGACCGGACCAUGGCAUGCGUGCGCUACCAUCGGCCAGCGACGCUGGAGGCGGCAGUGACACUUGCAGAGGACCACCUCACGGUUCAUCCCGGCGAUCAAGGGGGGGGCAGCGGAAAAAAGUUCUCAAAACAUUGCUUUGCCAUUAGUAAAGUAAUGGAGAAUCAUUGUCACUGCAAUUGACAAAGAGAGGAUUUGGAGCUCUGAUAACUGGUUACAUUUGAAGGAGUCCCUGACACUGAUUCUUUGUUGUCCCCCUUGGUCUAACUGAUUCUGUUUUGACUGGUCCUUUCCUCCUUUUCUUCUCUCCCUCCAUCCAUCCUCAUUUCCUUCCUUUCGUUCUCCCUUC